rnacentral:rRNA from 1 species
UACGUAGGUGGCAAGCGUUGUCCGGAUUUACUGGGCGUAAAGGGCGUGCAGGCGGUCUGUUAAGUCUAGGGUGAAAGCUCCCGGCUCAACUGGGAGAGGUCCUUGGAUACUGGCGGACUUGAGGGAGGCAGAGGAGAGUGGAAUUCCCGGUGUAGUGGUGAUAUGCGUAGAUAUCGGGAGGAACACCUGUGGCGAAGGCGGCUUUCUGGGCCUUACCUGACGCUGAGACGCGAAAGCGUGGGGAGCGAACCGG